AUUGAACGCUGGCGGAAUGCUUUACACAUGCAAGUCGAGCGGCAGCAUAGGUGCUUGCACCUGAUGGCGAGUGGCGAACGGGUGAGUAAUACAUCGGAACGUGCCCAGUCGUGGGGGAUAACGUAGCGAAAGUUACGCUAAUACCGCAUACGAUCUAAGGAUGAAAGCGGGGGACCGUAAGGCCUCGCGCGAUUGGAGCGGCCGAUGUCAGAUUAGGUAGUUGGUGAGGUAAAGGCUCACCAAGCCGACGAUCUGUAGCUGGUCUGAGAGGACGAGCAGCCACACUGGGAGUGAGACACGGCCCAGACUCGUACGGGAAGCAGCAGUGGGGAAUUUGGGACAAUGGACGCAAGUCUGAUCCAGCCAUUCCGCGUGCAGGACGAGGGCCUUCGGGUUGUAAACUGCUUUUGUACGGAACGAAAAAGCUCUUACUAAUACUAGGAGUCCAUGACGGUACCGUAAGAAUAAGCACCGGCUAACUACGUGCCAGCCGCCGCGGUAA
rnacentral:rRNA from 1 species